CCUACGGGAGGCAGCAGUGAGGAAUAUUGGUCAAUGGGCGCGAGCCUGAACCAGCCAAGUCGCGUGAGGGAAGACGGUCCUAUGGAUUGUAAACCUCUUUUGUCGGGGAGCAAAAGACGCCACGCGUGGCGUUCUGAGAGUCCCCGAAGAAAAAGCAUCGGCUCACGCGGUGCCAGCAGCCGCGGUAAUACGGAGGAUGCGAGGGUUUUCCGGUGUGAUUGGGUUUAAGGGGGGGGCAGGAGGAAGAUAAAGUCAGCGGGAAAAUUGGCGGGCCCAACGUCGUAGAGCCGUUGAAACUGGUUGUCUUGAGUGAGUUAGAAGUAGGCGGAAUGCGUGGUGUAGCGGUGAAAUGCAUAGAUAUCACGCAGAACUCCGAUUGCGAAGGCAGCAUACCGGCGCGCAACUGACGCUGAUGCACGAAAGUGUGGGUAUCGAACAGGAUUAGAUACCCCAGUAGUC
rnacentral:rRNA from 1 species